rnacentral:rRNA from 1 species
GAGGAAUAUUGGUCAAUGGACGGAAGUCUGAACCAGCCAAGUAGCGUGCAGGAUGACGGCCCUAUGGGUUGUAAACUGCUUUUGUAUGGGGAUAAAGUUAGGGACGUGUCCCUAUUUGCAGGUACCAUACGAAUAAGGACCGGCUAAUUCCGUGCCAGCAGCCGCGGUAAUACGGAAGGUCCAGGCGUUAUCCGGAUUUAUUGGGUUUAAAGGGAGCGUAGGCUGGAGAUUAAGUGUGUUGUGAAAUGUAGACGCUCAACGUCUGAAUUGCAGCGCAUACUGGUUUCCUUGAGUACGCACAGCGUUGGCGGAAUUCGUCGUGUAGCGGUGAAAUGCUUAGAUAUGACGAAGAACUCCGAUUGCGAAGGCAGCUGACGGGAGCGCAACUGACGCUUAAGCUCGAAGGUGCGGGUAUCAAACAGGAUUAGAUACCCUGGUAGUCCGCACAGUAAACGAUGGAUGCCCGCUGUUGGUACCUGGUAUCAGCGGCUAAGCGAAAGCAUUAAGCAUCCCACCUGGGGAGUACGCCGGCAACGGUG